rnacentral:rRNA from 1 species
AACGAACGCUGGCGGCAUGCCUAACACAUGCAAGUCGAACGAGACCUCCGGGUCUAGUGGCGCACGGGUGCGUAACGCGUGGGAACCUGCCCUUAGGCUCGGAAUAAUUCCCCGAAAGGGGUGCUAAUACCGGAUAAUGUCUUCGGACCAAAGAUUCAUCGCCUUUGGAUGGGCCCGCGUUGGAUUAGCUAGUUGGUAGGGUAAAAGCCUACCAAGGCGACGAUCCAUAGCUGGUCUGAGAGGAUGAUCAGCCACACUGGGACUGAGACACGGCCCAGACUCCUACGGGAGGCAGCAGUGGGGAAUAUUGGACAAUGGGCGAAAGCCUGAUCCAGCAAUGCCGCGUGAGUGAUGAAGGCCUUAGGGUUGUAAAGCUCUUUUACCCGGGAUGAUAAUGACAGUACCGGGAGAAUAAGCUCCGGCUAACUCCGUG